AGUCGAGCGAACAGACGAGGAGCUUGCUCCUCUGACGUUAGCGGCGGACGGGUGAGUAACACGUGGAUAACCUACCUAUAAGACUGGGAUAACUUCGGGAAACCGGAGCUAAUACCGGAUAAUAUAUUGAACCGCAUGGUUCAAUAGUGAAAGACGGUUUUGCUGUCACUUAUAGAUGGAUCCGCGCCGCAUUAGCUAGUUGGUAAGGUAACGGCUUACCAAGGCAACGAUGCGUAGCCGACCUGAGAGGGUGAUCGGCCACACUGGAACUGAGACACGGUCCAGACUCCUACGGGAGGCAGCAGUAGGGAAUCUUCCGCAAUGGGCGAAAGCCUGACGGAGCAACGCCGCGUGAGUGAUGAAGGUCUUCGGAUCGUAAAACUCUGUUAUUAGGGAAGAACAAAUGUGUAAGUAACUAUGCACGUCUUGACGGUACCUAAUCAGAAAGCCACGGCUAACUACGUGCCAGCAGCCGCGGUAAUACGUAGGUGGCAAGCGUUAUCCGGAAUUAUUGGGCGUAAAGCGCGCGUAGGCGGUUUUUUAAGUCUGAUGUGAAAGCCCACGGCUCAACCGUGGAGGGUCAUUGGAAACUGGAAAACUUGAGUGCAGAAGAGGAAAGUGGAAUUCCAUGUGUAGCGGUGAAAUGCGCAGAGAUAUGGAGGAACACCAGUGGCGAAGGCGACUUUCUGGUCUGUAACUGACGCUGAUGUGCGAAAGCGUGGGGGAUCAAACAGGAUUAGAUACCCUGGUAGUCCACGCCGUAAACGAUGAGUGCUAAGUGUAGGGGGUUUCCGCCCCUUAGUGCUGCAGCUAACGCAUUAAGCACUCCGGCCUGGGGGAGUACGAACCGCAAGGUUGAAACUCAAAGGAAAUUGACGGGG
rnacentral:rRNA from 1 species